rnacentral:ncRNA from 1 species
UCCGGUGGAACGUGCCUACUCCACUUUAUAGUCCCGUUCCGCUGCAAUAAAGGAGAAUACGCCCGCGUGACUCGCGGUGCGGCAGUGUGGAGACCUGCCGCAAUGGGCACGGGAUACCGCUUCCCGCGUCCGAGCCGGCCGGUUGGAGGAUUCCGCGGCCGGCAGAGUCGGAACAAGCAUGGCA